ensembl:ncRNA T24B8.16 ncRNA
CCCCAGUAUUAAUGAGAACUGAGAAACUAAAAGUUUUCCAAUUUUGCAAAUGUGGCAUUCGGUUUCGAAUAUUUUUUGGAUUUUCAAAAUUUGAUUUUAUGUUUCAAACAUCAAAUGGAAAAUAUUGUAUCACUUCAUUUUUCAAAUAUC